GCAUAGCUUUGGAGAUACAUUGCAAGUUAGCUAACUACUUUAGAAACUCAAACAAACCUUUUACUUCUCAACUCUCUCAAAUUCACCAUGGCUGACAAGUGCGGCAACUGCGACUGCUCUGACAAGAGCCAGUGUGUGAAGAAAGGAAACGCCUUGGUCAUUGAGACUGAGAAAAGCUACAUCAGCACUGUAGUGGUCGAGGCUGUGGCAGAGAACGAUGGCAAGUGCAAGUGUGGAGAUAGCUGCAGCUGCACAGACUGCACAUGUGGCACUCAUUAAGCAGACAUAGAACCAUGAUGUUUUAGUCCAUAGCAAUAUUAGGACCUAAAAAUAAUGAAAUUGAGUUGAAUAAAUUGGUGUUUUGUUGUUGUAGUUUGAGACAUUGAAUGCGUUUUCAUGCCUGUCUGUCUUAUGUCUGAGUCUCAUUGUACACUAUGAUGGAAUGGUCAUAUCUAUGGACUUCGUAUGAUUAAUGAAUUAUUAUCAGUUUAAA